GGGAAGGUGACAGCAACACCGGCACAAUGCUUAAUCGCUGUCUGUUCCUUGUGUAGUUUUGCGCUGGCCUGGCAGCUCCCUUGGUAGCCACAUCUUCGACGGUUUUUAAUGCUUUACCGGUUGCUGAUCGACACGUGCAAGCUUCGGCUUGCGUGCGCACCGAAUGCCCUGUCCUUCUCUCGGAGCAAAGCCAUGGUGCGCUUGUCAGCAUGCCGGCAGCCAUCUUCGGUGACAACACCUAUGACUGCGUACUUCUGGAAACGCCCACCGAUGUGACGUCGGUGGUCAAGGGGAUAAAAGCGCCGCCGAAGCUGCAUCGCUUCAGUGGGGAAGGUGACAGCAGCACCGGCACAAUGCUUAAUCGCUAUCUGUGCCUUGUGCAGGUAUGUUACCUCAGCAUUGCCUAUUGCCUCUGUUCUGACGAUCGAUGUUUGCUGCUGAUACCUUGCCCCCACAUUUGCUCAUUUAUGCUUACUUCAUCAUAUGCUGACAUUGUGCAUGCUCUGUGUAGUCUCUUACUAAGCGGCGAUGUGGAGUUAAACCCGGGACCUUCGCAAAGGCUAACUCGGGCUAACUUGCCUAACUCAGGGCUUACAUCGCGAACAGGUUCUCCUACUCGACCGGAAUCUAAUAAUCCAUCAAGUUCUGAUCCUGACAAUGAAUGCUCGGUUUCAGAAAUGUUUUUUUCAAAUUCUAUCUGGUCAGAAGAAAAUAGAGCAAGAUGUCGCGGAAUUGCGCAACUCUGUCAACGCCCGGUUUGAGGCUAUCGAAACGCGCUUAGCUGUUCUAGAGAAGACGUCACCUUCUCACAAUGGUGCACUUAACGACGAACUGCGUUGCCAAAUUGAGAAGUUGUCUUCUA